rnacentral:rRNA from 1 species
UUUACACAUGCAAGUCGAGCGGCAGCGCGGGGGCAACCCUGGCGGCGAGCGGCGAACGGGUGAGUAAUGUAUCGGAACGUACCCAGUCGUGGGGGAUAACUAUCCGAAAGGAUAGCUAAUACCGCAUACGUCCUGAGGGAGAAAGCGGGGGACCGAAAGGCCUCGCGCGAUUGGAGCGGCCGAUAUCGGAUUAGCUAGUUGGUGAGGUAAAGGCUCACCAAGGCGACGAUCCGUAGCUGGUCUGAGAGGACGACCAGCCACACUGGAACUGAGACACGGUCCAGACUCCUACGGGAGGCAGCAGUGGGGAAUUUUGGACAAUGGGGGCAACCCUGAUCCAGCCAUUCCGCGUGAGUGAAGAAGGCCUUCGGGUUGUAAAGCUCUUUCGGCAGGAACGAAACGGUCU